AGUAACCUCUGCAGACUUAAAUGUCCCUGUCUGACAGCUUUGAAGAGAGCAGUGCUUCUCCCAGCAUGCAGCUGGAGAUCUGAGAAGGGGCAGACUGCCUCCUCAAGUGGGUCCCUGACCCCUGACCGACGGAGAAUGACUUUGACGAGUUGAGAGAAGAAGGCUUCAGACGAUCAAACUACUCCGAGCUACAGGAGGAAAUUCUAACCAAAGGCAAAGAAGCUGAAAACUUUGAAAAAAAUUUAGACGAACGUAUAACUAGAAUAACCAAUACAGAGAAGUGCUUAAAGGAGCUGAUGGAGCUGAAAGCCAAGGCUCGAGAAGUACCUGAAGAAUGCAGAAGCCUCAGGAGCUGAUGCGAUCAACUGGAAGAAAGGGUAUCAGUGAUGGAAGAUGAAAUGAAUGAAAUGAAGCAAGAAGGGCAGUUUAGAGAAAAAA
rnacentral:lncRNA from 1 species